GUGGGGAAUAUUGGACAAUGGGGGGAACCCUGAUCCAGCCAUGCCGCGUGUGUGAAGAAGGCCUUUUGGUUGUAAAGCACUUUAAGCGAGGAGGAGGCUACCGAGAUUAAUACUCUUGGAUAGUGGACGUUACUCGCAGAAUAAGCACCGGCUAACUCUGUGCCAGCAGCCGCGGUAAUACAGAGGGUGCAAGCGUUAAUCGGAUUUACUGGGCGUAAAGCGCGCGUAGGUGGCCAAUUAAGUCAAAUGUGAAAUCCCCGAGCUUAACGUGGGAAUUGCAUUCGAUACUGGUUGGCUAGAGUAUGGGAGAGGAUGGUAGAAUUCCAGGUGUAGCGGUGAAAUGCGUAGAGAUCUGGAGGAAUACCGAUGGCGAAGGCAGCCAUCUGGCCUAAUACUGACACUGAGGUGCGAAAGCAUGGGGAGCAAACAGGAUUAGAAACCCUAGUAGUCC
rnacentral:rRNA from 1 species